CACGUGUUCGACUGUAGUUCUAUCUCUCUUCUUCCUCUCUCGGCCAUUUUUGGGGGACUCGAAAACUUGCUGAGAAAAAGAUGUACCGGUGCCGGCAAGUAGUCUCUCAAUGUUCGUCGACCAUCAAGUCAAAUCUUGGACAUGGCAGACAACGAUAUGCUGGCGAAAGUACUACUAAAAGGUUUGGCUCCGACCAUGGCUACAGCAAAACUCCAGCAAUCAAGCCGCCCACGUUGAAUGAGAUGCCCACACCCAAGGGUUCGUGGGCAACAGAACAUUCCCGUCAGCAGUCCAAGUACAAUAUGCACUUGGCUGCAGGACUGGGCUUUACUGCAUUCACACUUUUUGUGGGCUAUCAAUCAGGUUCAUUCUACCUGAACUAUGGACCUGAUGUAAAAAAUACAAAGGUAAGUGUGCUCAGUCAUGAGCAGGUCCGUGAGAGAGCGGCUGCCGCUGCUGCUUCAGCAGUUGUUGCUGAAGAGUCUGAUCCAGAAGUGUUGGCAGCUGGAGUAGAGGAGACUGCUCCAGUAGAAGCUGUUGUAGUCGAAGAUGCAUCUCCAGAAGCUGCUGAAGAGGUUGCACCACCAGUAGUUGAGGAAGUCACUCCAGUUGCCGUACCUGAUGCUGAAGCUGUUGCAGAACCAAGCAGAGAUCAAACAGGACCCUCUGACCAGUCAGAAGUAGCGCCUUCCGUAGUUGCAAUCGUCGGAGAUCUACCCGUCCAUAUUCCUUAUCUAUUAAUCGGAGCCGGGACUUCUUCAUUCGCCGCCUUUCGUGCCAUAAAAUCCCGUGACCCUAAAGCGAAGGUCUUGGUCAUUGGUGAAGAAAAUCACUUGCCUUACAUGAGGCCACCACUAUCGAAAGAACUGUGGUUCAGUGACGAUCCUGAAGUGUCAAACAAACUUAAGUUUAAGCAGUGGAACGGUAAAGAACGAAGUCUAUUCUUCGAACAGGAUGAAUUCUACUGCAGUCCUGUUGAAUUGGUUGCCAAAGAUAAUGGUGGCGUUUCAGUUGUGCGAGGACAUCGUGUUGUUAAACUGGACAUUGUCGGUCGUAAAGCUGAGUUAGAUGACGGUCGCAGCAUCACCUACGAUAAGUGCCUUAUUGCCACAGGUGGUAAACCGAAAUCAUUGCCGUCGCUGAGCAGUGCUCCGGAAAAUGUCCAGGAUCACGUGACACUAUUCCGCAACAUUGAUGACUUCCGGCGACUCGAGUCUAUAUCUCGCCAAGUCAAAUCUAUCACGAUCAUCGGUGGUGGAUUCCUCGGCAGUGAACUUGCAUGUGCUCUUGGAAGAAGAGCCAAAACUAGUGGACUGGAAGUACUUCAAGUCUUUCCAGAAGAUGGUAACAUGGGCAAAGUUCUCCCGAAAUACUUGAGCCAAUGGACGACCGAGAAGGUGAAGGGUGAGGGUGUUCAGGUUUUGCCCAGGACGCACGUCGAGGGAGCAACCAUGGACGAUGAUAAGGUCGUUUUGACCUUGCAGGAUGGGCAAAAGAUUAAAACCGAUCAUGUUGUGGUUGCUGUUGGUCUGGACGCAAACACGGAUUUGGCUGUCGCCUCAGGUUUGGAAAUCGACCCCACGUUUGGUGGUUACCGAGUCAACGCCGAGCUUGAAGCGCGGUCUAACGUCUGGGUGGCUGGUGAUGCUGCCUGCUUUUACGAUAUUAAAUUGGGCCGUCGACGUGUUGAACAUCAUGAUCACGCUGUCGUGUCUGGUCGACUAGUGGGCGAGAACAUGACCGGGGCUGGCAAACCAUACUGGCACCAGUCCAUGUUUUGGUCAGACUUGGGACCGCAUGUUGGCUACGAAGCCAUUGGUAUCGUAGACUCGUCAUUGGAAACGAUGGCUGUUUUUGCCAAAUCGACCGCCGCUGACACCCCGAAAGCUGUUGUCGAAGCCACUGGCGAGGGUGUUCGAUCAGAAACGGAAAAUGCUGCCACAGAACAAUCUUCCAUGAAAGAAUCGAACAAACUUCACGCACCAGUCCAGGGUGAACAUUAUGGCAAAGGAAUCGUCUUUUACACGAGGAAUGACGUUGUGGUCGGUAUGGUCCUCUGGAACGUAUUCAACAAGAUUCCCGUCGCUCGCAGGAUUUUGAAGGAAGGCUUGACGACCGACAAGCUCGCUGAAGCGGCCAAACUCUUCGAUUUACACGAGUGAACUGGUUUCAAUUGCUGAUUGUUAUUCACUUUUGAACCCGCCAGUUGUAUAGUACGAUGGACGAAAUACAGUUAGUGGAGAUCCGAA
rnacentral:misc_RNA from 1 species